ACCUCUCUGAAUUUUACACACGACAUCAUACACCCAACACCUAGCACCACUCUUUGCAUCUAACACACACCACUCUCUCUCUGAACCAAACACAAACCUAGCCGCCUUCCUUCUUUGCCACAACCAUAAACCCAUCAAAGAGGCGAAAAGAAGCAACUGGGCUGAGGAAGGAGAUUGGACUGCAAUCACGGUCUCGACAAAGACUCUCUGGGAAAAGUAAAGUUGCCGAUUCCGACGUAAGCAUUCGGCGUGGCGGCGAGAGCUAGGAUCAGCACUCUCGGUGGCGGAACCGAACCCGAGGCCAAGCAGGAGUGUGUGUCUCCUUUUUGCUCUAGAAUCUCAGCCGGGGUAGCAGCGAGAGCUAGGAUCAGAGCUCUUGAUUCAGAAUCUAUUCUGUUUGAGGUGUGGCGGCGAGAGCUAGGAUCAGAGUUCUCGGUGACGGAACCGAACCAGAGGCCAAGCUGGAGUGCGUGUCAGUGUCUCCUUUUUGCUCUAGAAUCUUAGCCGGUGUGGCGGCGAGAGCUAGGAUCAGAGCUCUUGAUUCAGAAUCUGUUCUAUUUGAAAGCGUGAACCAGCUGCUCUUGUAAUCCACCAAACAAGUUUGAAAUGACAUGACAUGACAGAUUGCAUGAUAUCAUUGUUCACUUGGACAAUGAUGUUGGGGAGGUCCAUCAUCAUCAGCGACAGUAGGCCCAAGAGUAGGAGGAAGAAGACGUCCACCAAAAAGAUCAAAAAGGAAUAGAGCGGUAACUGCAGCAACACAAUGGUCUCAAGCUUCAGGGCAGUAGCAACAAGAUCAGCUUAAGCCACAUCAACACGAGCCUCUCAGGUUUCAUGUUGCACCACGAAGCACGACCUAAACACCAUUGAGAUGUAAUGAAUUUGAUAGCAUUUUCUAUUUGUGGCAGUUAUUUAGUACUUUAAGUUUGGUAUUUGGUAUUUAUGAUAUUCGGUACUUUAAGUUGGGUGUGUAUUGAUGUAUUUUGAAACUUUAUGUUGGGAAUGUAUUGAUAUCUUUUGAGACUUUAA